AUCAGGAAGUGAUAAAAAGCUCACCAGGUGUAGUCAUUAGUCCCCUUGCCUCUCACUGAGCGCACUGCAAUUGUGUGGAUUCUCCUGAUUCUCCAGGUUGAUAGCCAGGCACAAGUUCCCGUCCUUCACGGAGUGAACUGGGGCAGAUUGACGUUUACCACUGACAAAUGAGCUGCUGUGGCUGUAGAGCUCCGGAAAAUACUCCUCCUC